ACGCUCGACACCUACGGAGGCAGCAGUGGGGAAUAUUGCACAAUGGAGGAAACUCUGAUGCAGCGACGCCGCGUGAGGGAAGAAGGUCUUCGGAUUGUAAACCUCUGUUGUCAGGGACGAUGAUGACGGUACCUGACGAGGAAGCCACGGCUAACUACGUGCCAGUAGCCGGCCGGUAAGUACUGAGCGGGCGUGGCGAAGGCG
rnacentral:rRNA from 1 species